rnacentral:tRNA from 1 species
GUGUGUGAAGCUCGAGUGGCCGAGCGCGACACUUCCAAUGUCGAGGUAGCGGGUUCGAAUCCCGUCACACACU